rnacentral:tRNA from 1 species
UAAGGUGUAGCUUAAUUGGUAAAGCAUUAGUUUUUGGUACUAAAGAAUAUAGGUUCAAUCCCUAUCACCUUAA